CCACGACCCGGCAUCGGGACGGGGUAAAAGCUACGGCGGUAAUAGAUGAGCAUGCGUUCCAUUAGCUAGUUGGUGAGGUAACGGCCCACCAAGGCUACGAUGGAUAGGGGUUCUGAGAGGAAGGCCCCCCACACUGGGACUGAGACACGGCCCAGACUCCUACGGGAGGCAGCAGUGAGGAAUAUUGGUCAAUGGGCGCAAGCCUGAACCAGUCAUGCCGCGUGAAGGAAGACGGCCUUAUGGGUUGUAAACUUCUUUUAUGAGAGAGCAAUAAGGGGUACGUGUACCCCGAUGAGAGUAUCUCACGAAUAAGCAUCGGCUAACUCCGUGCCAGCAGCCGCGGUAAUACGGAGGAUGCGAGCGUUAUCCGGAUUUAUUGGGUUUAAAGGGUGCGUAGGCGGAUUAAUAAGUCAGUGGUGAAAGUUUAUCGCUUAACGGUAAAAUUGCCAUUGAUACUGUUAGUCUUGAGUAUAUUUGAGGUAGGCGGAAUGUGUGGUGUAGCGGUGAAAUGCUUAGAUAUCACACAGAACACCAAUUGCGAAGGCAGCUUACUAAGAUAUAACUGACGCUGAGGCACGAAAGUGUGGGGAUCAAACAGGAUUAGAUACCCUGGUAGUCCACACUGUAAACGAUGAUAACUGGAUGUUGGUCUGUACAGAUCAGCGUCUGAUGUGAAAGCAUUAAGUUAUCCACCUGGGGAGUACGUCGGCAACGAUGAAACUCAAAUGAAUUGACGG
rnacentral:rRNA from 1 species